UACGAAGGGGGGCUAGCGUUGCUCGGAAUUACUGGGCGUAAAGAGCGCGCAGGCGGUCGUUCAAGUCGCGUGUGAAAGCCCCCGGCUCAACUGGGGAGGGUCACGCGAUACUGAUCGACUCGAAGGCAGGAGAGGGUAGUGGAAUUCCCGGUGUAGUGGUGAAAUGCGUAGAUAUCGGGAGGAACACCAGUGGCGAAGGCGACUACCUGGCCUGUUCUUGACGCUGAGGCGCGAAAGCUAGGGGAGCAAACGGG
rnacentral:rRNA from 1 species